UCUAAUAAUAGAUUACUACCUGCCCUUUAUUUCUGGGAAUUGGGAGUGACAAGGGUGUUGGCAGCAUUAUAUAAGAGAAAAGAAUAAGAGGUUUGUAGACCAGAGUUUUAAUCCCUUUUCUACUGUCUAUCAUCUCUAUAGGUUUCAGAAUACUGCUUGAUGCUUGGACUUCAUUGCCCUCACCUGUGAAGUGGGACUAAUAAUACCUAUUUUACACUGUUCUUGAAGAAUUAAAUGGGAUAAUACUGGUGAAAGCAUCCAGGACUUGGCAGGCACUGGAAUAAAUGAAAGAUUGCAAAUAUUCUUGGAGGAAAAGGUGAUGACACUCCAGAACUGGCUGGCUUUCCUCUUCACAGUGGAUCUGUGAUGGUUCCCAAGGAAAAUGCCUACAGGGAAUCUCCCUGGCUUCAUCUUUUGGCAGCCAAUGCCGAACCAAACUCAGAUCUUCAGAAAAGAUUUCACUUACGGUGGCUUUCACAGUAUGUUUUAUUAUUGAAAAAUUAGGAGUAGUAACAGUACCUAGGGCAUAUGGUGGUUGUGAAGACUAAGUGAAAUGAGCUUAGAACAGUACGGGGCCUACAGUAAGCACUAGAAAUGCGUUACAUAUCACUCUUAUUAUUUAAAAUGAUGCCCAAAUUUCUUUGCAGAAUAUUCAGCACCCCUCAUGAUCUUGCCCCUGCUUUCUUGUCUGGCUUUAACUCAUCAUACUCCAUACCAUUUUUUCCCUGGCACCAGAAAAGCUCUGUUCCACACCUACUGAACUACUUGUAGUUAUCCUGAACCUUCCAUUCUUUCUCUUGGCUUAGGGCUUUACACAUGCAGCUCUCUGUCUAGAACAUCUUAUCCUACAUAAUUUGUCAGAUUAAAUUCAACUCAUUCUUUGGGACCUUGCUUCAUAGUUAGAUGUUGCAAAAGCUUUUCUGUUCUCCAAACUUGGGCCUGGUCCUAUGUCUUACUAGAUGCCCUUUAGGACUGUCCUAAUCCAUUCAGGCUGCAAUAACAAAAUACCAUAAACUGGGUGGCUAACAAACAACAGAAAUUUAUUUUUCACACCUCUGGAGGCUACGAAGUCCAAGAUCAAGGCACUGGCAGAUUCAUGUCUUGUGAAGGCCCACUUUCUAGUUCAUAGUUGAUAUCUUGUUACCAGGGGCAAGGGUACCUCUGGAGCCCCUAUUAAAAGGGCACUAACCUGAUUCAUGGGGGCUCUGUCCUCAUGACCUAAUCACUUCCCAAAUACUCCACCUUCUAAUACCAUCCCAUUGGGGAAUAGGAUUUCAACAUAGGAGUUUCAGACCAUAGUAAGUACCCUCUGUUUACCCCUGCCUCUGUGGAAGUUCAUUGUAAACUGCUUGAUUCUUUGGCUAUUUCCUCCAUUUGUCCGUAAGAUUCCUAGAGGUGGAAUUUCCUGAUGGUAUAGCAUAUCACAGUGCGUGGAACAUAUCACAUAUCCCAUAAAUAAAGAAAUAAUGAGAAAUAGGCCACUUGUGGCAUGAUAGAGUUAUUUCAAAAUAGAAACAAAGAAAAGCAAGAUAUAUUGGUGGCAAUAACAAAACAUCAUGUAUAUUUUUAGCCCAAAAUAUUUAAGCAUAUUAGGAAUACAUAAAUAAAUGAGGCAUUUGGGGUAUAAAUAUCUCUCACUCAAAAUGGAAAUUUGUAAUCAUUUUAUAUCACAUAUUUGUACAAAUGUACUGUAAAAUGUAAUUAAUACUAAAAGAAAAUUAUUGUACUGGAUAGGGAAAAUCAAAUUGGUAAAUUGAUUAAUUAUAUUCCUAAUUAUUUCUUACAUUUUUGUUUUCAUUUUUGUUUUUCAGUUAGGGCAUCAGCCUUAACUUUGGAAUAAAGAUGUUCAUUGAUCCUGGUUUACUGGACUUUAAUCCAGUACUACUGAAUUGAAGCACACUGUGAACUACAAACAUAUUUUCAUUCACCAUGGCAGAUGCUCUUUGAAACUUGCAUUGUGAGGACAGAAGUUCAAUUAAUGUGUUUCCCAUUUAUUCUGCUGACAGAUAGAGGCCAAAUGACAAAAUAGAAAGAUCUUCGACUAAGUGUCAAGAAAAAAACUAGUGUUCUAGAGUCAUCUUUGCCACUUAAGAUAGCCUUGUGACUAUAAGUGUGCCAUCCAACAUCUUGGAGGUUCAGAAAUGGAAUGGAAAUAUAUUUUGUAAGUGGCAUAGCAUAAUGAAAGAAAUAACCCCCAACACAUAAAUGUUUGUAGAAUCCUGGCUCUGUCACUCCUACUUAGGUGACCACUAAAUCAUCUGUUUCCAUUUUCUCUUUCACUUAUUUAAUAUACAUUUAGUGGUUAGCAUAAACAGACACUAUUUGAGAAUUAAAAAAUGAAAUAAGCGGUUGCUAUCUAGAGAAAUGCAGCAUUUAAUGUGAAAAGCAGGCAUCCAAACCUUGCAUGAUACGGUUAAUAGAAGUCUUUCUCAAAUUUUUAUGUGUAUAAGAACCAUUGUGGUUCACUGCAUCUGGAGUGGGACCUGGGAUUCUUCAUUUUACACAAGCUGCCAGGCUAUGGAUACUGCUGAUCAAUGAAUCACGGUUUGAGAAGUGAGUGUAAUAAAAUAUAAACAGAGAUAUGCUACCACAGCACAGAAAAAAAAGAAACUAACUCAACUAUGUAAGAUCCAAAGAGGAAUUGAGAUGGAGUUGAAGGAUGAGUAACAGAAGGUGCAAAGCAAGAUAAUUAAAUGUCUUUGAGUAGAGGCACUAUUUCAUACAGAACACAGCGGUGUGAAUUGCCAUGGUGUGGGUGUAGAAAAAUGAUACCACACUGGGGAGUCAUGUGUAGGGAGACCAGUUUUCAGGAAGAGCAACAGUUCACUUGGGAGGUAAUGAAGGCCUGAAUUACUUUAGUGUAUUCAUGUAACUAUUCAUAGCUGAGUUUUCUAAAAGUUAUAGUGGAGAGGGCUUAAUGAAGGGGGAAAUGAAGGGAGGA